rnacentral:rRNA from 1 species
CCGGAGUGGACGCAUCACUGGUGUUCGGGUUGUCAUGCCAAUGGCACUGCCCGGUAGCUAAAUGCGGAAGAGAUAAGUGCUGAAAGCAUCUAAGCACGAAACUUGCCCCGAGAUGAGUUCUCCCUGACUCCUUGAGAGUCCUGAAGGAACGUUGAAGACGACGACGUUGAUAGGCCGGAUGUGUAAGCGCAGCGAUGCGUUGAGCUAACCGGUACUAAUGAACCGUGAGGCUUAACCUUACAACGCCGAAGGUGUUU